GUCAAAAGUUGUCUUACAAAAAUUGUAGUUAGGUAUAUUAAAUAGUGCUUUCCUAAUUUGAUAAACUGUUACCAACAAGUGGUCCAUCGAGAUAAUACACCCGAACAUACUAAUAUAGGAAAUGUAAAAGUGAGUAAUUAAACAAAAUUAAAUUGGUUGGAAUUAAUUUAAGUGUAGCUACAAGCGUCCGUCAAACGUGCCCCAACUCACUUCUGAUCCAAACUUGGAGUCAACAGUUAUAACUUAAUGUAACUAAAACCACUAUUAUUAAACAACACAAAUCAUAUUACGUGAUUAUCACGUCAUAUUGUUCGGCGAUUCGUACACGUUACAUUUUGGUUCGUUAAUGGGACGUGAUUCUUGGUCCUAAGGUGAACCUGCGUUUUCAGUUACGCUUUGAAAUGCAACUAUUGGCAAACGAGAAAAAUUUACAGGGUGAAUCAGCGAAGCAACACGCCCUCUUAGAUAUUACAGAAGAAGUGUUAUGGUUGUCGCCACUAUUUAUUUCUGUUACUUUGAUGUAUACAGGGUAGCUCAAAAUAAAGUUAUGACGGUCACGUUGAGUUUUUAAAUGGAAACGCUGACUUUUUCAUCCAGAUUCAAGUUCUAUGAUCUAUAAAACAUCAUCUGAUAAUUUUUGACCUGCUUUGGAAGGCUUAUAAAUUAAGCUCUUUUACAAGUAAUGUCCUUCGAUGUAUUUAACUGCUGUGAACUCCCAAAUUGUUAAAAUAGGGAGUAUCGUCUUUCCCCAUAUUGGUGUGUAAUAUUAAAUUUGUACAAAUAUAUGUUUUGUUUUCAA